rnacentral:SRP_RNA from 1 species
UACCGGUCCCCUCGCGACAGUAGACUGUGGACCCGGUCAGGCCCGGAAGGGAGCAGCCGCAGCAGUGGACCUGGGCGCCGGGGUGUGGCUGGUGCGG